UACGGGAGGCAGCAGUGGGGAAUAUUGCACAAUGGGCGCAAGCCUGAUGCAGCCAUGCCGCGUGUAUGAAGAAGGCCUUCGGGUUGUAAAGUACUUUCAGUCGUGAGGAAGGUGUUAAGGUUAAUAACCUUAGCAAUUGACGUUAGCGACAGAAGAAGCACCGGCUAACUCCGUGCCAGCAGCCGCGGUAAUACGGAGGGUGCGAGCGUUAAUCGGAAUUACUGGGCGUAAAGGGCACGCAGGCGGUUAAUUAAGUUGGAUGUGAAAUCCCCGGGCUUAACCUGGGAAUGGCAUUCAAGACUGGUUAGCUAGAGUCUUGUAGAGGGGGUAGAAUUCCAUGUGUAGCGGUGAAAUGCGUAGAGAUGUGGAGGAAUACCGGUGGCGAAGGCGGCCCCUGGACAAAGGCUGACGCUCAUGUGCGAAAGCGUGGGGAGCAAACAGGGAUUAGAUACC
rnacentral:rRNA from 1 species